ACAUGCUCAGUGCAGCCUGUCCUUAGGCGUAGGGUAAUGGUGGGCGACCUGGCAGUUCUUGGGCUCCUUGGGAUCCCCUCGAGAAGCCCCCUUGUUAGUGUAUGAAACCGUCAGUUCACUGCCAGUAAUGAAAACAUCGUGUCCUUAGUCACCUGCCAUUAGCCUUUUCGAAACCAUUUUUUCUGUUCCCUAAGCUGUCACAAAUCCUCCUCUGCAUCCCAGGAGUGCCGCUUGGUCCUCGGGCUCGCAGCGUGGCCCACACCUGGGUCGGGCCUCUCACGGGGACGCUCCCGCCACUGUGAUAAAGAGGAGAAAACGUCACAGGGGAAGGGCCUGACCCUGCUGCAUCCAGUAAGGAAACAGCCACAGGGAAGGGACCCCGUAAGCCACUUUGGGAGCCACAUCCACCACUUCUCUGACCCCACGCAGGCUGCUUCCCAGGCCUCAUGGUACUAGUGUGGACCUCCUGGCUGUGAUUAAUGCAGAUUAAGUACUGCACGACUACUCGCUUCUGAAACUGUCAUAAGAAACUGCCUCAGCUCCCUGCAGGGUGGACACACAAGAGCAGAAUCUCCGUGGGACAUCUCUUUGGAGCAUCAAUAUUACUACAGUAUUUGGAAGACACAAAUUUAAAUAAUUUCUAAGGUAAAGAAUGGAACAUUUAAGACAAGGCUGGAAAGUCAUCUGCCUUUAAUAACUCAUCUGUGCCUCACAUGUCAGACUUUCUCCAAGAAAAAAACUAAGGAGAACUUAUUUCCAUUCUUAUAAGUAGUAAAAAUAAUAAAUCAUAUCAAGUCAAUUGA
rnacentral:lncRNA from 1 species